rnacentral:lncRNA from 1 species
UAUUUGGAAUAUAACUGAAUUGCGUAUCUAUUUUUGCUUAGAUUUUGUGCAUGCUCAUGUGAGUGCUCACACAUGCAUAUGCAAGUGUGUGUGUGUGUGUGUGUGUGUGUGUGUGUGCGCCCCAUAGUCAUUUGUUUUACAUUUUAGAUCUGCCUAGAACUCCUAGCUACUUAAGAAAUCUUUGCAGAGGAAGGAACCAUCAGAUUGCUAUUCCUGUGGUUGUUCCUCUUUAGCUGCAAGAGAGGGACUAUUUUAUAAAGUAUGAAUAAAAUCAAUUUACAAUCAUUAUUAGAAAAUAUAGGCAAAGUCUGCCAACUACUAAAUAGUGAUAUCCUGAAAGCACAAAAGAGCCAUUGCUAAUAAAUGCUGCUAAAUUCAGUUUAUGAACUAACAACAGUCACACCCAAUGGGCCAAUGUCCAGAGAUGCUAUAUCAAUAUUAAUAAUAAUAUGAUAUAUUUAUAUUUUUCAAAGUGUGUUCAUGCUGUAUUGCUUCUGAGUCUUCCCUAUCUCAGGAUAAAGAAUGAAGGACAUUAUUCCUUGAUGUUUGUAGAGACAAAGGGUCAAAAAACAUUAAAUAGUCUGACCAAAUUUACAAGCAGUUAGUGGCUGAGCUAUCAAAAAUGGGUAAUUGUUAAACAUUGUUAGCAUUCCAGUUGAUGAGAAGGUAUAUAAAUCAGAGUGCAGGGUAAAUAAAAAUGGGCAUAAAAGGCAUUUUGCGUGACUUAGAAUUCUCGUAUUUAGUUAGUUAGUUAGUUAGUUAUCAGACCAGGCAGCAGCUCUGCCUGUAGAAUUCAUUAAUAAAAACAUAGGCAAAACUCCAAUUUCCAAGUUUAGUGAAAGACCAAUUUAUAUUAGUUUGAUUUAUUAUAAACAUUCAGGAUCGUUUUAAAAGCUUUCAUAGGUAUGGGGAUUUAUGUGAACUCAGAAGCAAAGGACUGUAUUAUUAUCCAUUAGAAAAAUGCUCUGUCCUUGUCUCUUCCUCCAUCUCUUGAACAUCUGUAUAUUUGUCAGCAUGAAAUGGGGUGGGCUAUAAAGUUAUUGAGUUACAAGUUAUUGAGAUCCCUGUAGACUUCACCAGUCAGAAGAGUACUUUACAUGUUAUUGUUCAUCUGGUUGUAUGGCAAAGCAUCCUCUUGGCUUCAGAGUGAUAAAUCGGGACCACAGAACUGUUUUACAUCAGCUCUGAUGCUGCUAAUAUUCAAAUGUUCUCUAGUGUGUCUGCACUGAAAAUGUAUUAAUGAGGUUCUUCAUAUUCACAAUUGUGAUUCUAGUAACUAAAUUGAGGUGUGGAUGGCACUUACAGGUUUAAGUAAAUAUUCUGGUUUUUUUUUUUUUCAUUCUUUAAAACACUAACCACUCUUUGGUUUUGCUUUUUCUCUACUAGUAAAAGAGAUUUUACAAAAUUUUUAUGAUAAUACUUUACUUAUAAAAAUGGUUUAUAGAACAUUUGGAAUGAGGCCACUAUCUAUUCUAGCUUUAAAAACAUCCACAUAAGUAAUAUCCCAUUCUGUAUUGGUGCUUGCUUUUUAUUGGUAAUUAAAGUGAUCUGAAAUUAAAAUGAGAGUAAUAAAUAAAGCUCACUUUCAGAGAUUCAGACUGAAAGCAAUCCAGUUCACAUGACUAUUAAAGAAAAUGAGGUCUUUUGCAAUGGGAUUUCUCUAUUCUAAAUGGAUGAAGCCUAUUUUGAAAAUUUUAUGUGUUGUGAAAUUGUUUUUGUUAUAAAUAUUUCUCUAUAAUUUUAAUUUAUCCUCUUGUACGAAUAUGGAAAAAUUCUUACAUUUUGGCAGAAGAGGUGAUUAUGUUCCAAACAUGGCUUUAGCUGUUGUAAGCUUAAAAUAGAUUUCUUCUUCUUCACCGUACAAAGUUACUAAGGGAAACUGUGCCUUAGAGGUGGGCGAUUGUUGUCAGGAUGGAGAAAAGGCUUGCAAGGACACAGGAGCCUGCCUUAAGACAAUUUCUCCUGACUUUCUAGCUUGUUUUUGGACUGUUUGAAAAGUCAAAUAAAAUUCAGUUAAGUCCGUUAAGUUAUUAGCUAAUCAUUAUCCUUCUUGAUUCCAUCUUCACUAUUAACCUUAGUUGAGUUCAUAUCUUCCUAAGACAAUUAUGUGUAUUCUUUAGAAAUUUAAUUAUUUCACUUAGUGCCCACAACUAAUCCAGAAGAUCCAAACAUUGCUAUUUUACAUGGAAAGGAACUGAGGAUAAAGAAAUGUAUAAUAACCCAAAUUCAGUAGUUUCCCACCACACAUAUUUACUAUCUCUGAAUUCCUCUAGGUCCAGACUUAUCGUUAUUGAGUUCUUUUUCUGGGGCCUCAAAGGCUAGAAUAAAAGUAUUGGACACAUUUCCUUCUUGUCUUGCAGUUCAGCUGGACAAGAGCCGUGGUUUUCCCAUUUUGGUCAGUCUUGCUGUAGACCCCGAAGGUCUUUUGCCUGCAUAAGAACUCCAGCUUUCUCUACCUUUUGACUUGAGGUCAUCUCAGAUGUUGGAGGCUACUUGCAGUUUCUUGCAAUCUGAGCUUUUCUGAGUCUGGAAAGACAGCCUUUAGGCCCAUCCCACUGAAUCAGAAUAUUAAGCUUUAUAAAGAUGACAUCCAUCAGAGUUUCUAUGCAGUGUGGCCAUUAGAAAGAGUCGCACACCUUUAAUCCCAGCACUUGGGAGGCAGAGGCAAGCAAAUUUCUGAGUUCGAGGCCAUCCUGGUCUACAGAGUGAGUUCUAGGACAGCCAGGGCUACACAGAGAAACCCUGCCUCAAAAAACC